rnacentral:rRNA from 1 species
GACGAACGCUGGCGGCGUGCUUAACACAUGCAAGUCGAACGGUGAAGCGCCUUCCUUUUUGGUGGGUGUGGAUGAGUGGCGAACGGGUGAGUAACACGUGAGUAACCUGCCCCCUUCUUCUGGAUAACCGCAUGAAAGUGUGGCUAAUACGGGAUAUUCUGGGUCUGUCGCAUGAUGGGUCUGGGAAAGAUAUUGUUUCGGUGGGGGAUGGGCUCGCGGCCUAUCAGCUUGUUGGUGGGGUGAUGGCCUACCAAGGCGGUGACGGGUAGCCGGCCUGAGAGGGUGGACGGCCACACUGGGGCUGAGACACCGACCAGACUACUACGGGAGGCAGCAGGGAGGAAUAUUGCACGAUGGGAGCAAGCCUGAUGCAGCGACGCCGCGGGAGGGAUGGAGGCCUGCGGGUUGUGAACCUCUUUCGCCAGUGAAGCAGGCCUGCCUCGUUUGUGGGUGGGUUGACGGUAGCUGGAUAAGAAGCGCCGGCUAACUACGUG